rnacentral:rRNA from 1 species
AUUGAACGCUGGCGGCAGGCCUAACACAUGCAAGUCGAACGAGUGGCGGACGGGUGAGUAAUGUCCGGGAAACUGCCUGAUGGAGGGGGAUAACUACCGGAAACGGUAGCCAAUACCGCAUACCAUCAGAUGUGCCCAGAUGGGAAUUGCCAGUUGGGGGGGUAACGGCCAACCAAGGCGACGACCCCUAGCUGGUCUGAGAGGAUGACCAGCCACACUGGAACUGAGACACGGUCCAGACUCCUACGGGAGGCAGCAGUGGGGAAUAUUGCACAAUGGGCGCAAGCCUGAUGCAGCCAUGCCGCGUGUAUGAAGAAGGCCUUCGGGUUGUAAAGUACUUUCAGCGGGGAGGCGUUACCCGCAGAAGAAGCACCGGCUAACUCCGUGCCAGCAGCCGCGGUAAUUC